rnacentral:snRNA from 1 species
CUGCUAGAUACACAUACACUAAAAUUGGAACCAUACAGAGGAACUUAGUUAGCAUGGCUCUUUUGUAAGGAUGGGAUGCAAACUUGUGAAAUGUUCCAUAUUUUU